GGGGUCUAGGCCCCUCCUUAAUGCAGCCACCUGAUGGUGUAGGUCACAAGCCCUGACAAAUGCAGAGUGAGGA
rnacentral:ribozyme from 1 species